GUGCUCACUUUGGCAGCAUAUAUACUAAAAUUGGAAGAAUACAGAGAAGAUUAGCAUGGCCCCUGCACAAGGAUGACAUGCCAAUUUGUGAAGCAUUCCAUAUUUUU